rnacentral:rRNA from 1 species
GAUGAACGCUGGCGGCGUGCCUAACACAUGCAAGUCGAGCGAGAACCGCUGGAAUGACACUUCGGUAGAAUGAAAGCGGGGAAAGCGGCGGACGGGUGAGUAACGCGUAGGUAACCUGCCCCAUACACAGGGAUAGCCUAGGGAAACCUGGAUUAAUACCUGAUGAAGCAACUGGUCGCAUGACCGGCUGCCAAAGAUUUAUCGGUAUGGGAUGGACCUGCGUCUGAUUAGUGAGUUGGUGGGGUAAUGGCCUACCAAAGCGACGAUCAGUAGCCGACCUGAGAGGGUGAUCGGCCACAUUGGAACUGAGACACGGUCCAAACUCCUGCGGGAGGCAGCAGUGGGGGAUAUUGCACAAUGGGCGGAAGCCUGAUGCAGCAACGCCGCGUGAGCGAAGAAGGUCUUCGGAUCGUAAAGCUCUGUCCUGGGGGAAGAAACAAAUGACGGUACCCCGGGAGGAAGCCCCGGCUAACUACGUGCCAGCAGCCGCGGUAAACU